rnacentral:lncRNA from 1 species
AUCAACCAAUUCAAAUUAAACACGACAUACAAUCCCAAUCCAGAUAUCGAUUCCACGCGAACAAAAUAAAGUUCUUAUUUUUUGUCCCUUUUUCCCUGUAUUCAUUGAAGAGAACAUUCCAAAAACUGAGGUGCCCACCAAGAUUAAAAGCUGCAACAUACCCAAAGUAAUUGAUUGGUGAGGAAAUGUAGCAAAUAGGAGCUUGUGACAAUAUCUGAUAUUUCAAACUAAACAAACAAGCAGGAGAGCUACACUUAAAACCACACCUAGCUUUCCAUGAUUCUCAAUCAGAUCGAUUAGACAAGACAUUGACAUGGGGAAGUUCCAGAUGUAGCAUCGUAGACAAUGAGAGAAGCAAAGCACUAACAUACUUCCCGGGGUCACUGCAAAGAUGCACAUCAACUAGAUGCACUGCAGUCAACUGCAUGUGAAAGGAACCAACUGAGAAUUGCACAAUUCUGGCAUCAAAAUAACAAAGAUGAAUUCAUCUCAACUCUUUGAACCCUUCAUAGAUGUAAGAUGUAACAAUACCCUGAGAUUUAACUUCUUUAUGAGUCUCAUUAUAACAGUCUUGGCAUUGGAAUGAAGAAAAAAUAAUUCAACUUGGCCAGGAAAAUCAAACAGAAGAUAAUGAUCUGCAAAAUACCAAAAACAUUAACGUUUUAACAAUUUUUAUGAGUCUCAUGACAGCAUUAUUGGCAUUAGAAUGAAGGAAAAUGGCCUCUUCUUACCUUUCAAAAGUAGUUCCAAUUUCGACUGCAGCCAGUCAAUAUUCUUCUCUAGAUAGUCCAUACAAUACACAAGACCUAGUUUAUCAUAAAAACACCUACUUUAGAAACCAUAGAAUAAGUACAAGCUCAUUGAAUACAAGCAUAUCACUGCAAAAAGAAAGAAGACGGCAUAUAAAGUCUACCAAAUCAUUGUCCAUAAAAUCUCAACAGCGUAUGAACAUUGCCACUUGAUUGAAGUUAAUUUCAUGAAAUUUGUUGUAAAGCAAAGGAAUAUCAUUGUCAAAAAUAUAAUAUAUUUUUUAUUAUUUAUCACUUUUUAUGUGUGAUUGUGAUUUGUACUCUAUUCUACCUUAGAGUAUUUCCAACAUAACCAUUGACUUUUUAGAAUGCUAAAAUAAUUAAUAACAUAAUCAUAUUUCCAAAAAUUAAUGAUACUUUUGCCGCCAAAUACUGCUACUAAAUUUAUCAAAAUAAUUCAUUAGAGGAAUCAACCAAUUCAAAUUAAACACGACAUACAAUCCCAAUCCAGAUAUCGAUUCCACGCGAACAAAAUAAAGUUCUUAUUUUUUGUCCCUUUUUCCCUGUAUUCAUUGAAGAGAACAUUCCAAAAACUGAGGUGCCCACCAAGAUUAAAAGCUGCAACAUACCCGAAGUAAUUGAUUGGUGAGGAAAUGUAGCAAAUAGGAGCUUGUGACAAUAUCUGAUAUUUCAAACUAAACAAACAAGCAGGAGAGCUACACUU